CCUCCCCGUUCACCCCUUUCGCCCAAGCUCCGGCGAUUUGAAGGCGCUCCCCGUCGAUUUCGGCUUCCAGGCGGUGUUUAUCGCCGGUAAGGCGGCGGAAGCCGGGCGGUAGGAGCGGGAACCGCUAGCGUGGCCGCCGGCCUGCCGCGGGCGCCGGUAACCGUCGGUAAAGCGGCGGUUUCCGGCGAUAGAUCGACGAUUCCUGGCGGUACAGAGGCUGUCGGCAUCGGUGUGGCCGUCCCGGAGCGGGAUCCGCUAAUACCGAGUGGUAUUCGGUGAUUCCCGAGUGGUAUUCGGCGCUUUUGGACCGGCAAAUGGUGCAUCCGGUGUGGGAGCAUGGAGAGAAGAGAGGCAAUGGAUGGAAGUGCAACUAUUGCCAUCAACAGAGGGAUGGCGGGUAAAUGGCGGUUUAGCAACUAUCCAUCAUGCAUAUCCAUCACAUCGAGUACCCUAUUUGCCACCCCCAUAUGUUGGCUAUAGAAUACCCAACAUGCAAGAUGCUUCCAAUAUACAGGCUCAAGGAUAUGCGGCAAAUGGUGCCUAUGGCGCAUAUGGGACCUAUGGAGGCUAUGGCUAUGGCUCAUAUCAAUAGGACGAGUCCGAAGAAUAAACUCCAUAUGGUAUGUAUCGUGUGAACUACUAUGUAUUAUGUACAUUAACGGUGAUGGUUUGUAGGGACUAUGGUUGUGAUGAUUUGUAUGGACUAUGAUUGUGAUGACUUGUAUGGACUAUGGUUGUGAUGAUUUGUAUGGACUAUUGUUGUGAUGAUCUAUAUGGACUAUGGAUGUGAAUUUCUAUUUUUAUGGA